CUUGUUUUCACUUAUUAAAAUAUACAAUACAUGCUUGUUAUAUACUUUUUCACUUACAAUAUAUAGCGUAUGCUUGUUAAGUACCUAUUUUGACUUAAUAUAUGAUAUACUUGCUUUCACUUAAAUAUAUAUGACAUAGUCUUCAUGUUUUGUUGAGUUCAUCACUAACACACAUAUGGCCCUUGUUAUGUUUAUUUAAACUCAUAUCGUACAAAUUGUUUGAGUUGACUUAUGGACUUAUAACACUUAAACUUAUUAAUUUCACUCAAACAUAUACAACAUCUAAAGUUUGACUUCAAAAAUAUUAUGAGGUGUUCAAAUCUUAAAGUUUGAGUUGAGUUAUAAGAAACUAUGUGAGAGAUCCAUUCUUUUAUGAACAAUGUAUGAUACCACUUUAUCAAAACCAUCUAAGGUUUUUAUGGAAAGUUUAUGGACCAAAAAUAUGUUGUCAUGUUAAUUUGUAGAAUUUUUCAACCUAAUUUAAGAAUUAUUGUAAUUAUUAUGGUGUAAUUUGAAAAUAAAAGUUUGAAUUGUCUAUAGAAGACAAUUGAAAUUUUCAUUCAGAUCUGGGACAUGGGCUACAAUAGAACAUAUGAGCCUAAAUAUAAUUUUUUUGUAAUUUUUGGAAUCUUAUUGGAGGUGUACAUAGUUCAAUAUGUAAUUACUUUUGAUAACCACGUAGAAAUUCAUUUAAAUGGUAGAAAAUAUGAAAUCUGUUAGGAAAUUAUUGAAAUUUCUACAAGACAGCUAAUAUGUAGUAUAUUAUAUACCAAAAAUAUAUUGGUAUGUAUAGUAUAAUGGUGCAAUUAACUGAAAAAAAAUAAAAAAACGCUAAGUAAGCCAGGCCCAUUUAAGCCCAAAUAGCCCAAUAUUUUCUGACCAUCCACAUGACCAUAUCCAAUCCAACGACUCCAAUCACGUGCUCAGACAAACCCUAGCAGCUCCAUCCUCCUCCCCUCCCUUCAGCCUCUCAGAUCCACUCGGGCGGCGCAGCCCUCCUGCAGGGAAUUUUUUUUCCCGGCGCAGCCAGUCGUCGCAGCACCCUCCCACCCCAACGGUGCUGAGGGCGAGCUCCGACGGGCGGGUGCCGGGGCCAAGUUCCAGCGGCGCGCCAAAGGGCGGGCGUUGAGGGUGAGCUUCGGGUGGGUGCCGGGGUCAAGCUCCGGCGGCGCACCCAAGGGCGGGCGUUGACGACGAGCUCCGACGGGCAGGUGCUGGGGUCAAGCUCCGGCGGUGCCCCCAAGGGUCGUGCAGUCUGUUAAGAUCCAGCAGGUGUGCCCCCGGCGGCUUCAGCUGCGGCCUCUCCUUGGGACUGCGAGGGCUCAAGGCCUGCGGGUGUGCAGGUGCUCUCACCUUCCGCGUCAGGCAGCACGCGAGGCUCCGAGAAUGGAGACCUCCUCUUCUGGAUCUAGCGCCCCACCCUCACGAGUCCAGUUUCUGUCCAUCGAUGUCAAGUCUGAAGCGUGCUCAUCAGACUACAGGUUCCGGUUCGAAUCCAUAUAAGGAGUGUUGAUUAGGUCAGGCAUCAGUUACUCUUUAGUCCUUAUCUAUUUUGAAUUAGAAAAGAAUGUUUGGAUGAUGCAGAAGAGAUGAACGAUUCCUGACCAAAGAUGGUAAUUCUAUCUCUCUUGGUUUCUCUGUCAACUACCUUUCCUCUGAGUUUGUGAGUGAUAAAUUAUAUCUUCAACCUUAAGUGAUAAACUACAUUUCCUCUUGAUGUCUUUUCAGUAUCAUAUUGACACUGAUCUCACAAUCUUCUUUAAUUUUGCUUUCAGAUGUAGUAGUGGAUUUAUGAGUUCUGAAGAUGAAUUCAGGCUAUGGUUGUGCUGGGACCAACGUCCUUGGAGGGGGCUUUGGCCAUAUUGCUAAACCUUUUGCAAGUUCUUCUCCGGCUAGCUACAUUAAAUAUCUGUGGAUCUUCUUCAAGCCUCAAAGGGUUCAAUUUGACGACUUGGAUAAGGAAGAAGUUGGUCUCCAUGAUUUUGUAGUGAGAUGAGAGUAAACCUAGGUCUAUAGAUAACUAUGAUAAGUGUCUUGUAUAUUUAGAUGCAUGUGUUUACUCGAGACUUGUAGGAUAAAUGACUUGCAAUGAUCUUGGAGAUGAGUCAUUUUAUUGCUUUUGAAAAUGAGAUCUUGCUUUUGAUGUACGUGUUAAGAUGAGUUGCUAAACGCAUGGUUAAUUGUAUGUGUCUACAUUUUAAAAUUUUA